GACGAACGCUGGCGGCGUGCUUAACACACGCAAGUCGAGCGGAAAGGCCCUUUCGGGGGUACUCGAGCGGCGAACGGGUGAGUAACACGUGAGUAAUCUGCCCUUCACUUGGGGAUAACUACCGGAAACGGUGGCUAAUACCCGAUAUGACCGCUCCACGCAUGUGGUGGUGGUGGAAAGUUUUUUCGGUGGAGGAUGUGCUCGCGGCCUAUGAGCUUGUUGGUGGGGUAAUGGCCUACCAAGGCUUCGACGGGUAGCCGGCCUGAGAGGGUGACCGGCCACACUGGGACUGAGACACGGCCCAGACUCCUACGGGAGGCAGCAGUGGGGAAUAUUGGACAAUGGGCGAAAGCCUGAUCCAGCAACGCCGCGUGAGGGAUGACGGCCUUCGGGUUGUAAACCUCUUUCAGCGGGGACGAAGCGCCGGUAAUGGUGGUGACGGUACCCGCAGAAGAAGCACCGGCCAACUACGUGCCAGCAGCCGCAGUAACAC
rnacentral:rRNA from 1 species